rnacentral:rRNA from 1 species
CGAAGGAUGCAAGCGUUAUCCGGAUUCAUUGGGUUUAAAGGGAGCGUAGGUGGGUUUGUAAGUCAGUGGUGAAAGCCGGUCGCUCAACGAUCGAAUUGCCAUUGAUACUGCAGACCUUGAGUACAGAUGCUGUGGGCGGAAUAUGACAUGUAGUGGUGAAAUACAUAGAGAUGUCAUAGAACACCGAUUGCGAAGGCAGCUCACAAAACUGUAACUGACACUGUGGCUCGAAAGUGCGGGGAUCAAACAGGAUUAGAUACCCUGGUAGUCCGCACUGUAAACGAUGAUUACUCGCUGCUGGGGGGUAACCUUCAGUGGCUGAGCGAAAGCGAUAAGUAAUCCACCUGGGGAGUACGCCGGCAACGGUG